UCCCCGUUCUCCUGGGCAGUCUCUCCAGAGUUCUCGGCUUGACCCGUUAGUAACUGACGACAGCCAUGCACCACCUGUGAUCCUGCCCACAAGGGGAAGCCGUGUUUCCACGGCGGUCAGGAACAUGUCAAACCCAGGUAAGGUUCUUCGCGUUGCGUCGAAUUAAACCACAUGCUCCGCUGCUUGUGCGGGUCCCCGUCAAUUCCUUUGAGUUUUAGCCUUGCGGCCGUACUCCCCAGGCGGGGCACUUAAUGCGUUAGCUCCGGCACGGGAGGAGUCGACACCUCCCACACCUAGUGCCCAUCGUUUACGGCGUGGACUAC
rnacentral:misc_RNA from 1 species